AUUGGAAACUCGAGUAAGGUAGGAACAAAUGGGUUCUUCUCCAGCUGUCAACACUCCAGAAGAAAUGACAAAAGAGAAGAUUUUAGAGUCCUAUCGUAUGCCCUAAUAUAGAGUGAGAACUAUUUCUACAAGGACUGCAACACUGGAAAGAAAUAAACAGAAAUGCCUAAGAAUUUUGAACAAUAAUUUCGACCAUCCAUGUCACCACCAGAAACCCUAUCCUGAAGCACGACGUGACCUAACUUUUGCCAGAUAGAAAAUCCACCCAAGAUGCAGAGACAUGCUUUUUUUCCUUUUUUAACAUGGCCUUCAUGUGAAUUCA